rnacentral:rRNA from 1 species
GAGUUUGAUCAUGGCUCAGGAUGAACGCUGGCGGUAUGCUUUACACAUGCAAGUCGUACGAGAAUUUUUAAUUCAAGUGGCGGACGGGUGAGUAACACGUAAGAAUUUACCUUUAGGAGGGGGAUAACAACUGGAAACGGUUGCUAAUACCCCAUAUGCUUUCGAGUGAAAUGGAUUUUUCCGCCUAAAGAGAAGCUUGCGGCUGAUUAGCUUGUUGGUGAGGUAAUGGCUCAUCAAGGCGACGAUCAGUAUCUGGUUUGAGAGGACGAUCAGACACACUGGAACUGAGACACGGUCCAGACUCCUACGGGAGGCAGCAGUGGGGAAUUUUCCGCAAUGGGCGAAAGCCUGACGGAGCAAUACCGCGUGAGGGAUGACGGCCUAUGGGUUGUAAACCUCUUUUUUCAGGGAGGAAUCAAUGACGUGUACCUGAAGAAUAAGCAUCGGCUAACUCCGUGCCAGCAGCCGCGGUAAGACGGAGGAUGCAAGUGUUAUCCGGAAUCACUGGGCGUAAAGCGUCUGUAGGUGGUUUAAUAAGUCAACUGUUAAAUCUUGAGGCCCAACCUCAAAAUCGCAGUCGAAACUAUUAGACUAGAGUAUAGUAGGGGUAAAGGGAAUUUCCAGUGGAGCGGUGAAAUGCGUAGAGAUUGGAAAGAACACCGAUGGCGAAGGCACUUUACUGGGCUACUACUAACACUCAGAGACGAAAGCUAGGGUAGCAAAUGGGGAUUAGAUACCCCAGUAGUCCUAGCUGUAAACAAUGGAUACUAGAUGUUGAACAGAUCGACCUGUGCAGUAUUAAAGCUAACGCGUUAAGUAUCCCGCCUGGGAAGUAUGCUCGCAAGA